UUGCCCCAGCAUUUGCCUCUAUGGUUUCUUCUGGAAGUGACCUCAUAAGGUGGUGACAUCAAACAGCAAGUUACACCUCCAAGCCAUGCCAAGAGUCACUUGAGGAAGGUUGAAAUAUCACCAUUGUGAACAUACUGGCAUACUGAGAGAGAUUGUGGAAGGCAUGAGAGUAAAAUCUUCACCAGAUCAUGAGAGGGAGAAAAGUUAAACUCCUUUUAGGCAGAACGUGAUCCUUGGUGGCUGUCAGAGCUCUGCCUACAACCUGUGCUUCAAAACUUCAUUGAAAUAUGCCAGAAUGAUUGAUGAACAAGCCUUUUUGGUUGAAAAUAA